UACAGAGGUCUCAAGCGUUUGUUCGGAUUCAUUGGGCGUAAAGGGUGCGUAGGCGGCGCGGUAAGUCGGAUGUGAAAUCUCGGAGCUUAACUUCGAAACUGCAUUCGAUACUGCCGUGCUUGAGGACUGGAGAGGAGACGUGGAAUUUACGGUGUAGCGGUGAAAUUCGUAGAUAUUCGCAAGAACACCAGUGGCGAAGGCGGACUCACUGCCC
rnacentral:rRNA from 1 species